rnacentral:lncRNA from 1 species
AGGGAAGGGCGGGGCCAGGAAGGUGGGGCUGCGCUAGGGUACUGCAGGACAGGGAACCCAAGGGGAUCAGGGAAGAGGCCUCAGCAAGGGGCCCGCUGUCAAAGCCCAGGGACUCACAUGGAGCAAGAAAGGCCUCCAGAAGCUCAAGUGAGGAGCCAGGCAGGGGAAUGGAGAGCCAAGGGCCAGUGCUGGGGCAGGGGGCUCAGGAAAGUGGACAAGGCUGGGGAGGGAAGGCAGGGGAUGCGGCAGCAGGGAGCUAGGCUCCAGGCUCAGGAACACUGCCAGGUUUCAGGGUUCUGGGUGCAGGACCAAGGGCCCAGGGAGAGCAAGGGGCUCAAGCAAGGGGCAGGGCUGUGUUUCCCAUAAUGCGUCCUGGCCAAGAUGAGAAUUCAGAAGCAGGAACCAGGCAAAUGGGGCCUGGAAAGGGAAGGGGCCAUGGGAAGGGUGACAGGAGAGUACAGGUGGUGUGGAGAUGGGCGAGAGCCAGGACCCAAGCCAGGAGCCCCAGCAAGUGAACGGCCUGACCGACUGAGGAUGAGGGUCCGAAGGAGCAGGAGACCUGUGAGCACCAGGGGAAAUUCAAGGGAAAGGAGAGAUAGGGGCUGCACGAGGACCAGGAGACAGAUGGAGGCACAAAGGGCACCGAGGGGAGUACGCUAGGGGGGCCCAAGCAAGGGGAUCCCUGGUCAGACCAGACACUAAGUGACACCAUGCCAUGACAUGCGACAGGAAGAACGCAUUCAGGGGCUCAGGCAAGUGGCCAGGCCCGGCUACUGGAGCUUAAAGGCUCAGGG